GCAGUCGAUAUUGUUGCAGGUGGGACUUCUGAUGGCGCAACACUUUGCCUUCAGUCCCAAAUAUCUCUGUGCUUCCUAUACAGGGAACGUAAUAAUAUAUUUUUAUUUUUUAACUUAGGUCGAUUAUUAUAUGUUGUAGAACUAUUUUUUGGCGGGAUCUUUUCAUUUUUCAUGGUCUUAAAACGCCUGCCAAAUGAAAUUAUAAUAACGCGUGUAACGUAUAACUUUUAAAGAGUUGAUGUGUGUUGUAACAUGCUAGUUAAUUACAGCAGCAGCUCGGAAGAAGAAAAUGACUUUAAUACUAACAGAAAUAAGAGUGCCAAACAUGAGGGUCCAGGUGGGACAAAAACCCAAGGAAAGAUGACAGAGGAAACCAGGGUUUCAGCUCCAGGAAAGGAUGAAGGUUCAUGUCAGACUCGUCUUCCUCUGCCUGCCUCUGUGAUGGAGAUGUUCAGAGACUCAGAAGAGCAGCACUUUGAAGACAGGUCUCAGCAUGGAGGACGACUCCGGUCUUUCCAGCACGAGAGAGGCAACUGGGCUACUUAUGUCUAUCUGCCAUAUGAGCCUGAAGACGGGUUCCCGGAGUUGCUGGAUGAGCUGCGGGUUUGUGCCGAAGCUUGCGGCGUCACCUUGACCCGGGCUGAAGAGUUUCACAUCAGCCUCUCUCAGACGGUGGUCCUGCGACACCACUGGAUUCAACCAUUUGUUCAGUCGCUGCGUUCUGCACUGGCAACAUGCAGCGGAUUUGUAUGUCUAGCAGAUAAACUGAAAGUGUACUCCAAUCAAGAAAAAACUAGGACUUUUCUCAGUAUGGAAAUCUCCACAGGUCACACUCAGCUUCUUGAGGUUGUGAAAAGAGUGGACAAGGUCAUGGAAGAGUUCAACCUUAGCACUUACUAUGAGGAUCCAUCGUUUCACUUGAGUCUGGCCUGGUGUGUUGGAGACUUCACUAAAACACUGCAGCGUGCGUGUUUAACAGAGAUGCAGAGUCUGGUGGACGGCCACGAAGAUGGACCUUUUCAGAUAAGGCUGAAGUGCAAGGAGCUCCGCUGCAAAAUCGGGAAUAAAUUCUUUCUCUUCCCAAUACAGUGACACACGGCACCUAGGAGGAUUUUACAGUAAUAACAGACUAAUGCUUUCAGAAGAGUCAGAGUAGCCUUACUGAAGGGUUGCUGGCGUCUCUCCCAGGGGAUUCUGGGUAUAAGCUGGGAAACAGAGUGCCAAUUCUAUCACAGGGCACAAUUACACACAAACUCACACAUUUCAGAGAGGCCAAUCAGCCAAUAACACAUUUCUUACUAGGAGAGGAAACCCCUAAAGAUAAUGAGAUCUCCAUACACAGAGGUUAGAGAAACCCCUGACCCUGGAGGUGUGAGGGCAAGCGUGUUGAAUACAAAGCCACUUUGCCUCCAGUUUAUUAAUUACAUACUUUUCUUAUUUUAAUAAGGAACUGACUAAAAGCACUGAAUUCAGGAUUAUUUUACAUUAAAAAAUGGAACAUUCUCCUAAGGACAACCACUGAUACAGAGAAAACUUUCUUAUAUUAUUAUAUAGGCUAAUACAAGUCUACUGCAUGGAGAAUGCUUUGCCUGGCUAUAGAGGAUAUAUUAAAGCACCUGAGUUCAAUAUAUCUUUUAAGGUCCUGACAUUCAGUGUCACUGGGAGAAAAGUCUGGCCUCGAUAUUUCCUGAACUUUGAAGUCUCCUACAUGGACCACCUGUAAAAUUAUUACUCCUCAAAAACAGUACAUGCCCAAGUCUCACCUAGAUGCUGAAGAUUUGUAUCUAAAGCAUUGCUGCUGUUAUCAUACAGACUGUCCUGUGAUCAUCUCAGAAUUCUUGAUUCUUCUACACCAGUAUACUGUAAUGAUCUAUAAUCCUGAUCUCAAGUGACAUAAAAGAUGGAGGGUCUGGUUUCUCUUCAGGUAUCUUCCUUGAGUUUUUCUUUGCCAUGAUCAUCUCUGUCACAAAGGAGCGUAACAGAAAUCAAACCAAUGUCUAAUGCACAGGUGGCUGAAUCUAUGGGUUUCUGUCUGAGUAAAUUCUGCUUUUUUUAACCCAGUGAAAGAGUACUACGAAUCAGAAAUAUUAUCAGAUGAAUCUCACAUCUUUGUCUGAAUUCCCUCAGUAGAAUUAGAGAUCGCUUUAAAUUAUUUUUUUUUCUCUAUCACUCAUACGUGAAAUGUUGUUCACCAUAUAAGUAUAAAUAAGCCUCAAGAAAUGGACAGUUACUGUUACCCCUUUUCAAACAGUAGAGGAAAUAGCUAUUUCCUGUACUGCUAACAGCGAAACCUCACUUGUCGCAACUUCCGACACGACGAAACUGCAGCAAGGAUUUGUUUCUUCUAACAUAUUACAUGAUCGGCUGUACUCUUUAAAACUUAACAACUGCAUCAACCAAACUAAAAUACUGAUCAAAUACAAGCUCAAGAUUUUAUCUCACUUCAAUUAUUUAUUUUUGCCUUCCAGAGGGAUAUUGAAUAUACAGUGUAUUGCUGUAUGCUGUAUAAUAUAGGAACUAGUGCUUCAUAUCAAUUUAUUUAUUCAUUCAUUAUCCUUCCACUUUUCCUGGUGGGGGUCUUACUUGUGACAAGCUCAGAAGGCUUGUCAUCUCUCCAGCAGGCCUUGGGUCUGCCUGUGGAUUCUCCAUCCAGUGGGACAACCCCGGCGCAGCUCUACCAGGAGCUGAUUAUCCUUGUAAGUUGCCCAAAACUCAACUGACAUCUGAUUUCUGAUGAGCAGUGACUCUAAUCUGAGCUCUCCCAGAUUAUCAAGCUCCUCAUCCAAUCAUGCACAGCAACUCUGCAGAGGCAUAUCAUGUCUGCUGCCUGUACUUAUGACGUUAUUCUUUAGGUCACUACCUUCAGCUUGUAAACCGCCAGGUAAUGACAGGAAUGUACUGACUGACCAGCUAACAGGUCCUGCUUUACCACUACAGACUUGUACAGCAACUGUAACAAUGCUGCUGUUGAGCGUGUUGUCAAUCUCACCUACUGUUUCUCCAUCACUUGUGAAGAAGAUCCCAAGACACUUAAACUCCUCCAGGGGCAAGGGACCAAGGGAACCAUGGGCUCAGACUUAGAGGUGCUGAUUUUCAACUUCACACUGAGAAGAAUGCAUGUUCAGAUGUCCACUUCAGGUGGUGCUAAGAAAAUAUUGUGCAAAUACCAGGGAUUUAACUUCCUGUCUCCAUACUAGACAUCUCUCCAACCUUGAUAUCCUGUCUGUGGAAACCACAAAAAGGACUGGAGUAAAGAGCUUUCCCUUCGACAGAGCCAACUUGAAGGGUUUUGACUUGCAGAGGAAGGCAUUCUCUCACUACACUCAUACAGAGCACAGAUCAUGUGAGGUAUCCACCCAGAGACCUGAUCUUCCUACAGUACAGGAUCAUACUCCCAUUACCACUAACAAGAUCUCGUCCACUGUUCCACAGCCUGGCAUGAACCCACAUAGUUUCUCCUGAAUCAAGGUUUCAAAUACUGAGGUCUUCAUCUACUGAGGAGUUUUCACGUGAGCCUGAUUCUUUGGAACACACCUUAGAUCUUCGUACACCAUAGAAGAGGCGUGUCAACCACAUGACCACAAGUUAAACAUCUCUGGCUGAAUCUCAUCCACUAUGAAGGUUUCUAACCACCAUAAUAUCCUCAGCCACAGAGAUGGAUUCCAAAACACCAAAGGUGUCUGGCACUGCCUCCUGUGAGGAGGAUUCUGGGGUCCACGGGCUUCUGGAGUUCCUCAUAGCGAUCCCCGGUCGGGACUGACACCCCCUGACUAAAAAAUUUGUACCUGUAGAUGAAAGUGAUGUAACUGCAUUUAAACAACAAAGUAUCACUUUUUUCACUUAUUAAACAAAAGAAAUCAACAAAAAUGUGUAUUUCACCUGAGGAAAAAGUUAGCACACCCUCUGCCCUAAUAGCUAAUGUUCCCCCAUUGGCUGAAAUAACCUCACUGAGAUGUUUCUUGUAGCCAUCUACCAGUUUCUGACAUGGACUAGAAGAAAGUUUCCCCCACUCCUCAAUGCAGAACUCUUUCAGCUGUGUGAUGUUUGGGGGGUUUCCUGCACACACAGUCCGGUUCAGAUCACCCCACAGGAUCUCAAUAGGAUUUAGAUCUGGACUCGGCCAUUCCAGAAUUCUCCAUGUUUUACUUUUCAGCCAGUCCUUGGUGGAUUUACUGGGAUGUUUUGGGUCAUUGUAAUGUGGCAAGGUCCAGUUCUGCUUUAGCUUCAAUUUUUUGACAGAUCGUCUCACAUGUUCCUCAAGCACCUUCCGAUCCAAUGUAGAAUUCAUAAUGGACUCUAUGAUGGUGAUCUGGCCAUGCUGCAGCAAAGCAUCCCCAAACCAGAACACUUCCACCUCCAUGUUUCACAGGUGGUAUGAGGUUCACUUGCUGAAAUGUUGGAUUUGGUUUACACCAAACAUGCCCUGUUAUGGUGUCCGAAUAAUUCAGUUUUAGACUCAUCUCCCUGAAGCACAUUAUUCCAGAAGUCUUGGCCUUUGUCUCUGUGUUCUUUGGGAAACUUCAGUCUUGCCCUCAUGUUUUUCUUAGACCUCCCAUGAUUACGUUGUGUAGUCUCUUUCUGAUUUAAGAUUCAUUCACUUUGACAUCAACUGUCCCGUGAUGAUAUUUUAGGGUUUUUGGAGAUCUUGCGGUCUGCUCUCGGGGUGAAUUUGCUCGGACGGUCUGACCUGGCCAUGGUGGCAGUUGUUUUAAAUGUUCUCCAUUUGUAAAUGAUUUUCUGGACAGUGGAACGGCUGAUUACAAAUUCUUUUGAGAUCUUUUUAUAUCCCUUACCAGACUCAUAAGCAUCAACAAUCUUCUUUCUGAAGGCCUCAGAGAGCUGUUUGGAUCUCACCAUGGUGAUACCUCUCACUUCAACAAUGAAGAGCAAACCAAGCUAAAUGUCUGAGGGUUAAAUAAGACACGCCUCCUUCACAAUGCUCUGGAACAAUCUUCCACCUGAUGUGAUUCACCUGGAGGUUAUUUUAUCCAUUUUAAGUACAAAUAAAUGUGGGUGUGUCCUUACAUUUACCCUCACAUGAAAUUGGAUUUUUUUAAAAUGACAUUUAAAAAAGAAACUUCUUUGGUUUUAUUUGUUUAAAUGGUAAUGUCACUGCAUUCUUAUUUAGUUAAAUUAUGACUUUCUAUCAUUUCUGUUUACUCAUCUGGUGCAACCAGAG